AUUUUCUUAGUAUAUAAGUACACUUGACUUCCAAUCAAAAGGUCUAAAAAUUAGAGAAAAUA
rnacentral:tRNA from 1 species